GACGAACGCUGGCGGCGUGCCUAAUACAUGCAAGUCGAACGCACUCUCGUUUAGAUUGAAGGAGUUUGCUCCUGAUUGAUAAACAUUUGAGUGAGUGGCGGACGGGUGAGUAACACGUGGGUAACCUGCCCUAAAGUGGGGGAUAACAUUUGGAAACAGAUGCUAAUACCGCAUAAAACCUAACACCGCAUGGUGUAGGGUUGAAAGAUGGUUUCGGCUAUCACUUUAGGAUGGACCCGCGGUGCAUUAGUUAGUUGGUGAGGUAAAGGCUCACCAAGACCGUGAUGCAUAGCCGACCUGAGAGGGUGAUCGGCCACACUGGAACUGAGGCACGGCCCAGACUCCUACGGGAGGCAGCAGUAGGGAAUCUUCCACAAUGGACGAAAGUCUGAUGGAGCAACGCCGCGUGAGUGAAGAAGGCUUUCGGAUCGUAAAACUCUGUUGUUGGAGAAGAAUGUAUCUGAUAGUAACUGAUCAGGUAGUGACGGUAUCCAACCAGAAAGCCACGGCUAACUACGUG
rnacentral:rRNA from 1 species